AGAGUUUGAUCAUGGCUCAGAUUGAACGCUGGCGGCAGGCCUAACACAUGCAAGUCGAGCGGAUGAAGGGAGCUUGCUCCUGGAUUCAGCGGCGGACGGGUGAGUAAUGCCUAGGAAUCUGCCUGGUAGUGGGGGAUAACGUCCGGAAACGGGCGCUAAUACCGCAUACGUCCUGAGGGAGAAAGUGGGGGAUCUUCGGACCCCACGCUAUCAGAUGAGCCUAGGUCGGAUUAGCUAGUUGGUGGGGUAAAGGCCUACCAAGGCGACGAUCCGUAACUGGUCUGAGAGGAUGAUCAGUCACACUGGAACUGAGACACGGUCCAGACUCCUACGGGAGGCAGCAGUGGGGAAUAUUGGACAAUGGGCGAAAGCCUGAUCCAGCCAUGCCGCGUGUGUGAAGAAGGUCUUCGGAUUGUAAAGCACUUUAAGUUGGGAGGAAGGGCAGUAAGUUAAUACCUUGCUGUUUUGACGUUACCAACAGAAUAAGCACCGGCUAACUUCGUGCCAGCAGCCGCGGUAAUACGAAGGGUGCAAGCGUUAAUCGGAAUUACUGGGCGUAAAGCGCGCGUAGGUGGUUCAGCAAGUUGGAUGUGAAAUCCCCGGGCUCAACCUGGGAACUGCAUCCAAAACUACUGAGCUAGAGUACGGUAGAGGGUGGUGGAAUUUCCUGUGUAGCGGUGAAAUGCGUAGAUAUAGGAAGGAACACCAGUGGCGAAGGCGACCACCUGGACUGAUACUGACACUGAGGUGCGAAAGCGUGGGGAGCAAACAGGAUUAGAUACCCUGGUAGUCCACGCCGUAAACGAUGUCGACUAGCCGUUGGGAUCCUUGAGAUCUUAGUGGCGCAGCUAACGCGAUAAGUCGACCGCCUGGGGAGUACGGCCGCAAGGUUAAAACUCAAAUGAAUUGACGGGGGCCCGCACAAGCGGUGGAGCAUGUGGUUUAAUUCGAAGCGACGCGAAGAACCUUACCUGGCCUUGACAUGCUGAGAACUUUCCAGAGAUGGAUUGGUGCCUUCGGGAACUCAGACACAGGUGCUGCAUGGCUGUCGUCAGCUCGUGUCGUGAGAUGUUGGGUUAAGUCCCGUAACGAGCGCAACCCUUGUCCUUAGUUACCAGCACCUCGGGUGGGCACUCUAAGGAGACUGCCGGUGACAAACCGGAGGAAGGUGAGGAUGACGUCAAGUCAUCAUGGCCCUUACGGCCAGGGCUACACACGUGCUACAAUGGUCGGUACAAAGGGUUGCCAAGCCGCGAGGUGGAGCUAAUCCCAUAAAACCGAUCGUAGUCCGGAUCGCAGUCUGCAACUCGACUGCGUGAAGUCGGAAUCGCUAGUAAUCGUGAAUCAGAAUGUCACGGUGAAUACGUUCCCGGGCCUUGUACACACCGCCCGUCACACCAUGGGAGUGGGUUGCUCCAGAAGUAGCUAGUCUAACCGCAAGGGGGACGGUUACCACGGAGUGAUUCAUGACUGGGGUGAAGUCGUAACAAGGUAGCCGUAGGGGUCCUGCGGCUG
rnacentral:rRNA from 1 species